UGCGGUCUGCGCCUUUUGACAGGAAAUCACAAUCCCUGGGGCCAUACCCGAUCUUGAGGGAGCUGUCCCUGAUCAGGCCCGUGGGCUUGGUUACACGGCGCCCACCUACUUUGUAGGCUCCCAGGAUCGUUCAUACUUCCAUCGGAGGCGUGGAUCGUAU
rnacentral:other from 1 species